rnacentral:rRNA from 1 species
UUCCCGGUGGUUAUUGCGGAGAGGUCCCACCUGUUCCCAUCCCGAACACAGUAGUUAAGCUCUCUUGCGCCGAUGGUACUGCAGAUUUUCUGUGGGAGAGUAGGAAGCUGCCGGGAUU